AUGAACGCUGGCGGCGCGCCUAACACAUGCAAGUCGAACGAUUAAAGCACCUUCGGGUGUGUAUAAAGUGGCGAACGGCUGAGUAACACGUGGGCAACCUGCCCCUUUCAUUGGGAUAGCCACGGGAAACCGUGGAUAAUACCGAAUACUUCGAGACUUCCGCAUGGAAGACUCGAGAAAGCUCCGGCGGAGAGGGAUGGGCCCGCGGCCUGUUAGCUUGUUGGUGGGGUAACGGCCUACCAAGGCAAUGAUGGGUAGCUGGGUUGAGAGACCGACCAGCCAGACUGGGACUGAGACACGGCCCAGACUCCUACGGGAGGCAGCAGUGGGGAAGCGUGCACAAUGGGCGAAAGCCUGAUGCAGCGACGCCGCGUGCGGGAUGAAGGCCUUCGGGUUGUAAACCGCUUUCAGCAGGGACGAGGCGAAAGUGACGGUACCUGCAGAAGAAGCCCCGGCUAACUACGUG
rnacentral:rRNA from 1 species